GACGAACGCUGGCGGCGUGCCUAAUACAUGCAAGUCGAACGCAGUGGGGACGGGGGAGUAACACGUGGGUAACCUCCCAUCAGAGGGGAUAACACUUGGAAACAGGUGCUAAACCGAUACUGAUGGAUGGACUCGGGGUGCAUUAGCUAGUUGGUGAGGUAACGGCUAACCAAGGCCACGAUGCCUAGCCGGCCCGAGAGGGGGAUCAGCCACACUGGAACUGAGACACGGACCAGACUCCUACGGGAGGCAGCAGUGGGGAAUAUUCGGCAAUGGACGAAAGUCUGACCGAGCAACGCCGCGUGGGUGAAGAAGGUUUUCGGGUCGUAAAACUCUGUUGUUGGGGAGGCGGUAUCUGACCAGAAAGCCACGGCUAACUACGUGCCAGCAGCCGCGGUAAUUC
rnacentral:rRNA from 1 species